AUUGAACGCUGGCGGCAUGCCUUACACAUGCAAGUCGAACGGCAACGCGGGGCAACCUGGCGACGAGUGGCGAACGGGUGAGUAACGCAUCGGAACGUGCCCAGUAGUGGGGGAUAGCCCGGCGAAAGCCGGAUUAAUACCGCAUACGACCUACGGGUGAAAGGGGGGGAUCGCAAGACCUCUCGCUAUUGGAGCGGCCGAUGUCAGAUUAGGUAGUUGGUGGGGUAAAGGCCCACCAAGCCUUCGAUCUGUAGCUGGUCUGAGAGGACGACCAGCCACACUGGGACUGAGACACGGCCCAGACUCCUACGGGAGGCAGCAGUGGGGAAUUUUGGACAAUGGGCGCAAGCCUGAUCCAGCCAUGCCGCGUGCGGGAAGAAGGCCUUCGGGUUGUAAACCGCUUUUGUCAGGGAAGAAACGCUCUGGGCUAAUACCCCGGGGUAAUGACGGUACCUGAAGAAUAAGCACCGGCUAACUACGUGCCAGCAGCCGCGGUAA
rnacentral:rRNA from 1 species